CCUCCCUCAUUCAGCUUUGCCCUCAGUCCAAGGUCUCUCUGUCCUCUCCAGCACAGCAGAAAGCUCAAGAGGAGCUUAGAGAAGAACAAAAACAGCAGCACUGACCAGGAGCCAUCACAAACCCUCCCCUCCUUUCUCAGUUUUCAGGUAGGAAAAGAUUACCCAUCCCUAUGAAAUCCUUAUGAGAAAGAAGUUCUCUAAGCCUGCAACUCAGACAGCUGUAGGAAUAUCUGAGAUCAAAUCACAGUGGGAAAAUGGAAGAAUCUAGGGGGGGCUGUGAAAGCAGCAAUCCGCUCCCUCUGUGUACACUGUAAGACUAGCACAGCUGCCUUCUCAGCAUGGCUCAGAGAUAGUUGGCACCUGCCCCACCUUUUCAGCUGCCUCUGGUGCCCAGUGCACAAGUGAAAAGGAAGGAAAGAUUUUUUUAGCCACAGAACAGCUGAGGACAAUCCACUGAGGAGUCCACGACCUGCUCUAUCAGAUCCCAAACAGGUUGCAAAGAGCCCAGUGACAGAAAAGGUAGCUGAAACUUCCUUUUUGUUUCCUUCUUGCUCCAAUGAAUCAGCCAAAGGCCUUGCACAGGUAAAGACAAGAGGCAGUUCCCCAUUGCAAGAAACCAACAACAUGAGCAAAGCAAACCUAUCCUCCUAAAGAACCCAAUUAGGACACAAAUUUUCAUUGAAUUUUGUUGGAGCAGGACUACCUUACAUGGUUAUUUUUUAAUUUAUGUUUUAAUCAGGGAAGAAGUGGAAGAUGGGAAAGGGAGUGAACAAUUUGCUGCUACUGGCACAUGGAAACCUCUCAGUGAUGUGAGUUUGUGUUCUGGGUGUGCAGGAAACACAACACACACAACAGUAUCAGGUUUUCUGUCAGCUUCACCUAGUCAGCAUGCAUUUUUGUAGACAUAGUUUUUUUCAUUCUGAAAGCCAAAGUAAGCCAUGUUAACAAAACCACUUUUUUUUCUGCCUGUACCCUGAGGGUCAAUCCCAAUCAUUGAUGGUGUGGUUUGCCCUCAGUUUGCUUCUCCUCUGUAACAAGGGUGCCAGACAGAGCCAAGUCCAAUACCCGUCUCCUGGAAUACAAGGCUAUCCUACAUCCCUACCAGAGUGCAUCACACAUGACGCUGAACAGACCUGUGCUGUCCACUGUGAGCAGAUCUGGCGGCCAACAAAACCCUCCAGUGCUUGCACGGAGAAGAAUGCCUUUUUCACUGGGAAAAUGCAUAAUGACUCAGAAUUUGGGAUGUGACCAUCCCUCCCCACUGCCUCACAGGACAAUUUAGGAUUGCAGCUGUGGGAACUCGUAUUUUUCUCCUGCGUAGUAACCCCUGUUGCUUAUUGCAGAUGCGUAGUUGCACCUGUAUGCUUUUCAAAGUCCACUACCACUUCAGAAUGGGCUGAAGUGCACAAGUUUUCUACACAUGACAUCAUCCUUGACAACAAGAUCCAUGCCAAGAGCACCUAACAUUUAGAUACUUCCCCUACAACAAACUCACAAUCAGCUGUGGAUUUACCAAAGCAAAAAA